rnacentral:lncRNA from 1 species
UCAUAUUAAUUCGUCAAACUUCAUUAUUUCACUUUGAAGAAUUCAAGUAUGAAAGUAUUACAACACAAAUAGUACAUAUGCUAAAAGAACUUAAUUUUAGCUUCAAAAGAAGUUAAUUCAAGUGGAUCGAACUCCAUCCAUGCUAUAAGAAGAGUAAGAGUAAUCGCAACGGAUGGAGAUCGAUCCACCUUUUUUCUGUGUGUAUAUAGCUAGCCUAAAGCCAAGAUAUGAUGGAGAGAAAAAAACAUCAGAAACACCAAAACAAUGAUACAAAGAAAGAAGUACAAAAGUUGUCGAAAAUUAUUAUAUUCAAUUCUGUUGUGGUGCCGACUGCCAUCGCCGCCCUUUCUGCGUAGACGUCUUUGUGGUUUCAGGGCCUUGUCUAUGCUUUUGUCCCUCUGCAUCCUAAAUUUCCUUUUUCCCCACCAAAAAAUAGAACGUUAAAACCUAUAUAUAUAACAACGAUGGUUAAUUUUGCGGGUAGUUUCGGGGUGGCUUACCAGGGAGUAUCAGAGCAAUUUCGCGGACAUUGACCAAGAACUAAGCAUUUUUGAGCUUUUAGUUUGAUACAUAGGGAGCUUGGAUUUUGGCUCUAAGUUGGUCUGACUUCUGGGAGUUUACUUUACGCAGAGGUGGUGGGGAGAGGCAGAC